rnacentral:rRNA from 1 species
CGGCGGACGGGUGAGUAACGCGUAGGAAUCUACCCGGUAGUGGGGGACAACUUGGGGAAACUCAAGCUAAUACCGCAUACGCCCUAUGGGGGAAAGCGAGGGACCUUCGGGCCUCGCGCUAUCGGAUGAGCCUGCGUAGGAUUAGCUAGUUGGUGAGGUAAAGGCUCACCAAGGCGACGAUCCUUAGCUGGUCUGAGAGGAUGAUCAGCCACACUGGGACUGAGACACGGCCCAG